rnacentral:tRNA from 1 species
GCCUGGAUGGCUCAGUGGUUGAGCAUCUGCCUUUGGCUCAGGGUAUGUUCCUGGAGUCUUGGGAUCGAGUCCCACAUCGGGCU